rnacentral:rRNA from 1 species
UGCCAGCCGCCGCGGUAAUACGGAGGGUCCGAGCGUUAUCCGGAAUCAUUGGGUUUAAAGGGUCCGCAGGCGGCCAAUUAAGUCAGAGGUGAAAUCCCAUCGCUCAACCCGGGAAGGGCUUUUGAUACUGUAGAACUUGAGUGUAGGAGAGGAUAGUAGAAUUCCUGGUGUAGUGGUGAAAUACGUAGAUAUCAGGAGGAAUACCGGUGAGGAAGCUGGCUGUCUGGCCUAACACUGACACUCAUACCCGAAAGCGUGGGGAGCAAACAGGAUUAGAUA